GCGGUCGUGGCGGAAUUGGUAGACGCGCAGCGUUGAGGUCGCUGUGGGGUAACUCCCGUGGAAGUUCGAGUCUUCUCGACCGC
rnacentral:tRNA from 1 species